rnacentral:tRNA from 2 species
GGAGAGCUGGCCGAGUGGUCGAAGGCACCUGACUCGAAAUCAGGCAUACCGGGAACGGUAUCGUAGGUUCGAAUCCUACGCUCUCCGC